CUAUGGGCCGCUGCAGUAGGGAAUCUUAGACAAUGGGGGAAACCCUGAUCUAGCCAUGCCGCGUGAGUGAUGAAGGCCUUAGGGUUGUAAAGCUCUUUCGCUGGGGAAGAUAAUGACGGUACCCAGUAAAGAAACCCCGGCUAACUCCGUGCCAGCAGCCGCGGUAAUACGGAGGGGGUUAGCGUUGUUCGGAAUUACUGGGCGUAAAGCGCGCGUAGGCGGGCUAUUAAGUCAGGGGUGAAAUCCCGGGGCUCAACCCCGGAACUGCCUUUGAUACUGGUAGUCUUGAGUUCGAGAGAGGUGAGUGGAAUUCCGAGUGUAGAGGUGAAAUUCGUAGAUAUUCGGAGGAACAUCAGUGGCGAAGGCGACUCACUGGCUCGAUACUGACGCUGAGGUGCGAAAGUGUGGGGAGCAAACAGGAUUAGAUACCCGGGUAGUC
rnacentral:rRNA from 1 species